rnacentral:siRNA from 1 species
UGAGUCCCAAGGUGUGGUUGACCA